GCAGCAGCUGUAUGACACACUUUACCUCCAUUACCACCCUGGGCAUCUGAAUGUUGGAGAUGGGUGGUGUCACCGGCCGGUGGGGGUGGGGAGGGAUUUUUUCCAAACUGAUGGCCAUUUCACCCGGAUGUCGGUGGAUGCCCCGCACUAGUGUGCGGAAGAAGUCACCCUGUGCUCCCCCACGCAGGUGCUGGACGUCAUUGCUCCUCCUUAUACCUCUGACUUCGUGCAACUUUUCCUCCCCAUCCUGGAGAAUGACAGCAUCGCAGGUACCAUCAAAACGGAAGGCGAGCAUGACCCUGUGACGGAGUUUAUAGCUCACUGCAAAUCUAACUUCAUCAUGGUGAACUAAUUUAGAGCAUCCUCCAGAGCUGAAGCAGAACAUUCCAGAACCCGUUGUGGAAAAACCCUUUCAAGAAGCUGUUUUAAGAGGCUCGGGCAGCGUCUUGAAAAUGGGCACCGCUGGGAGGAGGUGGAUGACUUCUUUACAAAGGAAAAUGGCAGGCGCUGGGCUCCCACGACCCCUCAGGACAGAUCUGGCCGUCAGCCGCGGGCCGCUGGGAACUCCACUCGGGGAACUCCUUUCCAAGCUGACCUCAGUUUUCUCACAAGAACCCAGUUAGCUGAUGUUUUAUUGUAAUUGUCUUAAUUUGCUAAGAACAAGUAAUAAGUAAAUUUUUAAAAAGCCUUUCUGCUGGGUUGGAUUAA
rnacentral:lncRNA from 1 species